UCACCAUAGAGAAAUUUAACAGUCCUCCACCCCUGCGUCACCACUCCACCGUUUUACCCGUGUACAGUUCGUACACAAUACUUACAAAACCCCUCAUCCUGAAGAGUUCGCUGUGAAAAUUGAAGUAAAUCCCACUCUUUCUUUCUAAACACUGAAAAACCUCCCAGCUCACCAAUGGAUCCACUCUCAGCACUCCGCGACUUCACCAUCCGGGGUGACCUAGACAAAAUAAUCCGCAUCAACGACGAAUUCCGCUUCGGCAACGAAUACACCUUCCCUUGCUCAACUAAAACCGCUUACCGCUCCAAACAAGGCAAUCUCUACACACUAGAAACCCUAGUUUACUGCAUCCAAAACACCAAAAUCAAGUUCACCAAUUACCUCCAAGACGCCCUCGCUCUCGGCAUCCCCCCUGUCACUUACAUCGACUGGAAACCCGUCAAAGAAUACCUCUCCGGAAAACUCUCUUCUACCGACUCCAUAGUUUUCCCUCUUCCUCAAGAAUCUCAAAACCCUAAUCUUAAUUACCGCCCCGAUGAUCCUAUGCUUCUUGAUUCUCGAAUCGAUGAUUCCGCCGCCGCCGACAAGGUGAACAAUGGGAAUGAGGGAGUUGAAAAUCACGUUUCUUUGAUUUACGCCAACGAGAGGCCGUUGAAGGAUAGGGAGUCGUUGUUGGAGUGUAAGAAUAGGGAUUUUUAUGGGGUUUUGGUUGCUUCCACGCGCCGUGAAGAGGAGAGGCAUAAAUUUGAGAGUCAACAGAGGAAAGAUGGGUUAGUGGCGAAGAGUAGGUUGAUGGGAACUGAUGAGAGAGGAAUUGGGUAUGGUGGUGAUGAGUUGGGCUAUGAUUCAGCGGCCAAGCCCAAAAUGCAUUCGAAAGGAGGGAAAAUUGGGGAGGGGGUGCCCAUAAUUUUGGUGCCAAGUGCGUUUCAGACUUUGAUUACGAUUUAUAAUGUGAAGGAAUUUUUGGAAGAUGGGAUUUUCAUACCGACGGAUGUGAAGGCUAAGCAGAUGAAAGGGCCGAAACCGGAAUGUGUUACAGUGCAGAAGAAGUUUAGCACUGAUAGGAAUAGAGUGAUGACGGCUUAUGAGGUGCGGGAUAAGCCGUCUGCACUCAAGGGUGAUGACUGGGAUAGGGUUGUGGCAGUUUUUGUGCUGGGGAAGGAGUGGCAAUUCAAGGAUUGGCCCUUUAAGGAUCAUGUUGAGAUAUUUAAUAAAAUUAUUGGAUUUUUCAUGCGGUUUGAAGAUGAUAGUGUGGAGUCUGCUAAGAUUGUGAAGCAGUGGAAUGUAAAGAUUAUCUCGAUCAGCAAGAACAAGAGGCACCAGGAUAGGGCUGCAGCGUUGGAGGUGUGGGACCGACUAGAAGAAUUUGUGCGCUCACAAUCACACACUUGAAGUGUGCAGACUUUUAGAAGUGUGUCAAUGGAAACGAUUUCAUAACCAGCUACAAGCCAUUCAAAGUGCAGAGGCAUCGUGGAAGGAUGGAAAGCGUGCCAUGUCUGAAUAUGUGGAUGUCAUGGUCUCCUGUUGGUUUCAUUUUGUGCAAGUUAACUUUCAGUGGUUGUUUGCAGCUGCGAGCUGGAGACUUUGGUUUUUGCGUGGAUCUGAUAAUUUGUUAGACAGAAUUUACAACAGAAGGAAGGGAAGAGAGCAAACGUCUCUUCAGUAAUACAAAACUACACCAACCUUUGAUGAGGUCGCAAAAAAAGUAAACAAUACAUGCACCCUCAACCGACGCUCUCGGUAAUAUAUUAUAUCAUACAUCAAUGACCAAGGAUAUGCAAUGUGUAAAGUAUAGUGUAAGUGUUGACUGGCUGGCUGAUCAGAAAAUCACUGUGAAGGUUGAACCAUAUGAAGCGGCAAAGAGAAGGAAGAACAGUAAAGAGAUUGAGAAAUCCAAGGAGCUUCCACCUGAUGUUCCAUCUGUUUGUGUUGAUGGUACAGUUUUGGAUGCCGUUCCUACACCAGUGAAUGUCACCUUGAGCAAGUUAAUAGCAAAACAGAGUCUAACAUGAUGAAAAUCCUUUUAUGAGGAUCUAUUGGUGUACAAGCAUAGAAUAACUUGAUCAACCAUAUGCUGUGUUUUCAUAGCAAUUAAUCAUAUGCAAGAAAAAAAGUUCGGUGUAAAGAGGCACCGACUUGUUUAGUUAUUUUACUUUCAGUUGCACUAUUUGCAUAUAAUACUGUACCUGAAGGGGUGCUUGAAGCUUCUGGUGUUCCCGCAGGUGAGGCAGCUGGAGAGGCACCUGUCCAAUACAAUGUUAUGAGUUGGCAUCAGAUCAGAAUGAAAAUUUUGAAAAUCUACGAAGGAGAGUUUCGAACUUGAAACCUCUUGGGGGAGGAGGGGCGCUAUUGCCAAUUGAGCUGUAGCUCAUUGGCAAUUCAAAGAAAGUUGAGGUUGCAAAGAGAGAAGUAAAAUAAGUUCCAAGUUCCUUACCAUUGCAGCUGCUGAUAGGUGGAGUUUGCACAUUGCAAGCACCAGGUAAGGCUAUAGCCUGAGUUUUGUUGACCUCGAUCCCUAGUGAUGAGCCACCGCCAUUAAGAACCUGGCACAAGCACUGGGGUGAUGAGCGAACAACACUAGCUAGCUGAGUGCAGCAUUGUGAGGAUGGAGUUGAGGAGUUCCCUGUAAUGUAAUUUAGGCACGGUGACAUGCUGAUUAAAACAUUUGUACAAUCUGAUUGAGCCAUGGCUCCCGCCCAAAGCAUGGUCACCAGGACCAUGGUCAAACCCAUUGACAUCGCUGUGUGGGCCAUUGAAUCUCUUCACUUAGGUAUUGGAAAUGCUCGUGGAAUGUGAAGAUCUCUUGUAACUAUUGAGUUUGAUUAGCUUGAUGGAACGGGGAGAAAAGGGUAUGGCAUUUAUAGGGAUCUGAUGCAAGAACAGGUAAAUUAGAAGAUCCGUUAUGUGGGUGACCAACUCUUCCUAAUUUCCAACGGUGGGCGUUUUAGUCAACUAGGCCAGCUUGGACCUCAAGCUGUUCCUACUCGGAGACCCUGGAAAUUUGCUGCGCGGCUUACAUGUGGAGUUCUGAAGGUCGGCUCUAUGGGUGAACAACUUCUACUGUCUGACGUGUCUUCUGGUACCAAGCAGCUUAGAUGUACAAUAAAAGAUUCUUUUUAAUUAUCUAAAUUAAAAAAAAAACCCAAUUUUACUAAUUGGAUAUAUUAUAUAGUUUUGUAUUAUGAAAGGAUUUUUUUUACAUGAAAAGCUUUGUUUAAUAAGAAUACUUGGGCAAUUAAUUUUUUUUUAAUCAAA